GGUUGUGGCUCAGUUGGUAGAAUGCUUGCCUAGCACGUGAGGCACUGGGUUCUAUUCUCAGCACCA
rnacentral:tRNA from 1 species